rnacentral:rRNA from 1 species
GACGAACGCUGGCGGCGUGCUUAACACAUGCAAGUCGAACGGAAAGGCCCUGCUUGCAGGGUACUCGAGUGGCGAACGGGUGAGUAACACGUGGGUGAUCUGCCCUGCACUUCGGGAUAAGCCUGGGAAACUGGGUCUAAUACCGGAUAGGAGCCAUUUUUAGUGUGAUGGUUGGAAAGUUUUUUCGGUGUAGGAUGAGCUCGCGGCCUAUCAGCUUGUUGGUGGGGUAAUGGCCUACCAAGGCGGCGACGGGUAGCCGGCCUGAGAGGGUGGACGGCCACAUUGGGACUGAGAUACGGCCCAGACUCCUACGGGAGGCAGCAGUGGGGAAUAUUGCACAAUGGGCGCAAGCCUGAUGCAGCGACGCCGCGUGGGGGAUGACGGCCUUCGGGUUGUAAACUCCUUUCGCUAGGGACGAAGCUUUUUGCGACGGUACCUAGAUAAGAAGCACCGGCUAACUACGU